GGUUUGAUCAUGGCUCAGAUUGAACGCUGGCGGGAUGCUUUACACAUGCAAGUCGAACGGCAGCACGGACUUCGGUCUGGUGGCGAGUGGCGAACGGGUGAGUAAUGUAUCGGAACGUGCCUAGUAGCGGGGGAUAACUACGCGAAAGCGUAGCUACUACCGUGCACGAUCUUCGGGGAAAGCGGGGACCUCGGGCCUCGCACUAUUAGAGCGGCCGAUAUCGGAUUAGCUUGGGGUUGGUGGGGUAACGGCUCACUGUUGCGACGAUCCGUAGCUGGUUUGAGAGGAUUGCGACCAGCCACACUGGGACUGAGACACGGCCCAGACUCCUACGGGAGGCAGCAGUGGGGAAUUCUGGGAUUAAUGGGGAAACCCUGAUCCAGCCAUCCGCGUGUGCGAUGAAGGCCCUCGGGUUGUAAAGCACUUUUGGCAGGAAAGAAACGGCACGGGAUAAUACCCCGUGCAACUGACGGUACCUGGGUAGAAUAAGCACCGGCUAACCAUGCGCCAGCAGCCGCGGUAAUACGUAGGGUGCAAGGCAAUCGGAAUUACUGGCGAAGCGUGGCGCAGGCGGUUCGGAAAGAAAGAUGUGAACCAGAGCCAUCCUCAGAACUGCAUUUUAAUCAAUGAGCUAUGUGUCAGAGGGAGGUGGAAUUCGCGUGUAGCAGUGAAAUGCGUAGAUAUGCGGAGGAACACCGAUGGCGAAGGCAGCCUCCUGGGCGUUUCACCGAUUGGCACGAAAGCGUGGGAGCAACAGGAUUAGAUACCCUGGUAGUCCACGCCCUAAACGAUGUCAACUAGUUGCCAGCCUUCGGGCCUUGGUAGCGCAGCUAACGCGUGAAGUUGACUCCGCCUGUGAGUAUGUCGCAAAGAUUAAAACUCAAAGGAAUUGACGGGGACCCGCACAAGCGGUGGAUGAUGACUAAUUCGACAUGCAACGCGAAAACCUUACCUACCCUUGACAUGUCUGGAAUCCCCGAAGAGAUUUGGGAGUGCUCGCAAGAGAACCGGAACACAGGUAUGCACGGCAGUCGUCAGCUCGUGUCGUGAGAUGUUGGGUUAAGUCCCGCAACGAGCGCAACCUCUUGUCAUUAGUUGCUACGAAAGGGCACUCUAUCGAGACUGCCGGUGACAAACCGGAGGAAGGGGAUGACGUCAAGUCCUCAUGGCCCUUAUGGGUAGGGCUUCACACGUCAUACAAUGGUCGGGACAGAGGGUCGCCAACCCGCGAGGGGGAGCCAAUCCCGGCAAACCCGAUCAGCCGAUCGCAGUCUGCAACUCGACUGCGUGAAGUCGGAAUCGCUAGUAAUCGCGGAUCAGCAUGUCGCGGUGAAUACGUUCCGGGUCUUGUACACACCGCCCGUCACACCAUGGGGAGUGGGUUUUACCAGAAGUAGUUAGUCAACCGCAAGGAGGGUGAUUACCACGGUAGGAUUCAUGACUGGGGUGAAGUCGUAACAAGGUAACUCUCAGCAUACCUGAUGU
rnacentral:rRNA from 1 species